rnacentral:rRNA from 1 species
GAAUCUAAAACCUUUCCGGAGUAUCAAUUGGAGGGCAAGUCUGGUGCCAGCAGCCGCGGUAAUUCCAGCUCCAAUAGCGUAUAUUAAAAUUGUUGCAGUUAAAAAGCUCGUAGUUGAAUUUCUGCUGCAUCCGUGUCAUUCCUAACUGGUUUGUCACUGUUGUGGCUUUUUCUGGUGGUUGUGCUUCGGCUAGAUCUCCAGAUUGUUACUUUGAGAAAAUUAGAGUGCUUCAAGCAGGCUUUUGCCUUGAAUACUUUAGCAUGGAAUAACUAAGUAGGACUUUGGUUCUAUUUUGUUGGUUUAAGAGCCAAAGUAAUGAUUAAUAGGAACAGUUGGGGGCAUUCGUAUUUAACUGUCAGAGGUGAAAUUCUUAGAUUUGUUAAAGACGAACUACUGCGAAAGCAUUUGCCAAGGAUGUUUUCAUUAAUCAAGAACGAAAGUUAGGGGAUCGAAGACGAUCAGAUACCGUCGUAGUCCUAACCAUAAACUAUGCCGACUAGAGAUUGGAGGUCGUCAGUUUGAACGACUCCUUCAGCACCUU